GAAAACGGGGACGCGUUUGUUGCUUGUGGUGAGUGUGGAUUUCCAGUUUGCAGGCCAUGUUAUGAGUAUGAGAGGAGUGAAGGCAAUCAGUCUUGCCCUCACUGUCAUUCUCGCUAUAAGCGUCAUAAAGGUACUACAACAACAACAACAACCCAGUAUAAUCCCAUUUAGUGGGGUAUGGGGAGGGUAGUAUAUACGCAGACCUUACCCCUACCCUUGGGUAGAGAUGUUGUUUCCAAAUAGACCUCCGGCAUUCUUCCCUCCAAGAACUUUCCACCUUGCUCUUGGGGAGACUCGAACUCACAACUUCUCGGUUGGAAGUAACCUCACUGUCAUUCUCGCUAUAAGCGUCAUAAAGGUGCAUGCCUCUCCCUUUUAUUAUUCUUUCAAAAUGUUAGGUGCACCCAAGUAUAGAUUUACUUUUACCGCUAUCAUCAGGUUAAGUUAUGAGUUUAACUUGUUUUAUGUAGUGACUGCGUAAAAAUAUUUACACGAUUUGUUCACUUAUAAGGUAAUUACAUAUGUGCAUGCAUGCAUGGCCAUCAAAACCUG
rnacentral:lncRNA from 1 species